rnacentral:rRNA from 1 species
GAGUCUGCGGCACAUUAGCUAGUAGGUGAGGUAAAGGCUUACCUAGGCGACGAUGUGUAGCCGGUCUGAGAGGAUGAACGGCCACAAUGGAACUGAGACACGGUCCAUACUCCUACGGGAGGCAGCAGUGGGGAAUAUUGCACAAUGGGGGAAACCCUGAUGCAGCAACGCCGCGUGAGUGAAGAAGGUUUUCGGAUUGUAAAGCUCUGUUAGCAGGGAAGAGGAAGGACGGUACCUGCAGAGGAAGCCACGGCUAACUACGUGCCAGCAGCCGCGGUAAUACGUAGGUGGCAAGCGUUGUUCGGAAUAACUGGGCGUAAAGGAUGCGUAGGCGGUUAAACAAGUUAUAUGUUAAAUAUAUAGGCUUAACCUGUAGAAAGCAUAUAAAACUGUUUAACUAGAGUGCAGGAGAGGUAAGUGGAAUUCCUAGUGUAGCGGUGAAAUGCGUAGAGAUUAGGAAGAACACCAGUGGCGAAGGCGACUUACUGGACUGUAACUGACGCUGAGGCAUGAGAGCAUGGGGAGCAAACAGGAUUAGAUACCCUGGUAGUCCAUGCUGUAAACGAUGGGUACUAGGUGUGGG